GUACCCGGUACCCCAGACCCGAGGGUCUGGACUUGGGAGCGUGAACUCUCAACCCAAGUCUGCCCAGUCCCUCGGUCCCUCUCUGAAGCCCGGAAUCCCCGCUGUCCAGUGCCUCGGCCCUGGCUGGGGAGCGGGAGGUCGACUAGCCGGAAGGGUCGGGCGGAUGGAGCCUCGGAGCAGCCAGAGUGGUGUACGGCCCCGCGGAAGGUUUAGUCCCCGCCGCCCGUGUAGACCCGAGCGGCUGCAGCUUUCCGUGUGUCCGGAAACCUGAGAUCUCUGCCUGGAGCUCUGGAGGCGAGACGGCUCCGUGCCUCGGCAGGGAUCGGAACGCAGGGCUCGAGCGACCACAGUUCUGGGUGUGAGACAGAGACCCAGAGAGAGGGAAAAGCAAAGCGUGUGGUUGAAGGAAGGGCGUGCUUGAAGGGGACUGGGAAAGAUCCUCUCUGGGUCCAAACGGAGCCUCUGGCUUGUGAGAACCCCUAGCCAGGUUCUAGAUUAAGGGCUGGGGGUGGGCCAUUUUGGCCCGGGGUCCUAUGAGCCCCUGGACGCUCGGAGCCCCUCACUCACCCAGGCCUCCCGCUCUCCCCAAAGCCUCCUUCAGCGUGUCUGUCUGAAAGGUGUACAAUUGGCCCUUCAAGAGGUGGGCGUGGGCUCGAUUAGCAUUUGCCAGGAGUCCCGCGUGUGGGAUUUGCAUACUGAUUUGCAUACAGUAAUAAUGAUUAACAACAGUGCCACUCCCUGGCAGACCGGGGAAGAAUUCAGGGAAGGCCUUGGCAUUGCUUCCACCUUCCUCCUCCCUUCCCUCAGGGGAAGAGCUAAUUUUCUCAUUAUUGCUCUGACCCCUGGGAAUUCCUCUGACUCUGGGUGGGCAGGUGCAGGGAGGGGCAGUUUUCCCUCAGCCCUCCAGCCCCAAGUCCAACUUGGGAGAGGUAAACCCAGUACUUUAUUUCUGCCCAGCUUUGAACUCCCCGGCUUUCCCGUCUUUGUUUUGCAUCUUGUAGGUAGCUCAGGGGCGGACCCUGCCCUAGAGUAUGGAGGUUUCCAGGAACAGUUAGCUGGGGGCAUCUUCCUCCUCCAAAACCUCUAACGCACUCACACACUUGGCCCCGUUCCUCGCAGGAUCACAGCCCAUCAUCUGCGUGAGGUCUGACCAUCACUGGUGCUCAAAAACGCUUGUGGAAAGAACUAGCACAUCCCUGAGGUAGCCCAGACACUCCUUCUCUGGCCCCGGGAAAAGGUUCUUUGAAUCACCGAAGAGGAUCAUCCCUGCCUUCUUUGGACACAUGGUAAAUAAAACCCACACACUCACGAGAUGAGAGUUCCAGCUUUAGGGAAGGCCACAGUUCUUUUGGGCUGAAGAUCACAGACUUGUUUAUCAUCUUCGGGGGUAAAAUGAACAGGUGCAUGAGACCCUCCAGGGUUCUGUCCUUCCUGAGAUUCUCCAGGUUGACCACAGCUGGCUGACCACAGCUGGCAGGCCCGCAUAAAAUCCCCAGAGAACAAGGCCGUUGGUCAUUGGCCCGGCAGCCCAUACAGUUCCUCUGGGUUUCUGACUGGCUUCUGGAGCAGGAGGGGACUGACCACUAUGACCCAGCUUGUCAGCCUCCUGGGAAUCUUCUCUGCCUGCCUUAGACUGGUGCCUCGACCUGGAAAAGUGCUCAUAGCAGAGAAAUGGACAAGGGCCAGAAGGAGCAGGAAUUGUCAUCACAUCCUCAUCAUCAUGAAAUUGAUACCGAUAGCAAUGAUGCAGUGGCAACAAACUCUUGCCUGGCAUUUAAUAAGUGCUACUCACUAUGCUAACACCUUAUAAGCAUUCUUCUUUUUUUUUUUCCAGUCCUUACAGCACUCUUAUGAGCAGCUACUGUCAUCCUCAUUUAUCAGAUGAAAAAAACCAAGGCACAGAAAAUCUUCAGCAAUUUGCUCAAGAUCAUUAGCUGAGUUGGGAUUUAACACCAAAGAAUCUGACUCCAGAGCUCCUAGCCUUCAAUGUUACUCCACGGAGAGGAGCAGAAGGCCAGCUGGUACCCUGCCCAUCCAUGGAAGGACAUGGUAGAAAAUGAGAGGCCAGGAGAAGGCCAGCACCUGUUCAGUGCUCUAACCCCCGCCCCCACCCAGGUCUCUCCAGCUGCCAGCAGGGAAGACCACCUGCUCCUCGGCAGGUUAGAGCUCUGAGGAGUCCCAGAAAGUGCAGAUGAGGGGGGGUGUUGGGUAGACGAGCUGGGGUGCCCCUUCCCCUAACCCUGCCCCUGGUCUCACAAAUAACGGCCUUUGGAUUACUGCCUGUGUUGGAUGCCUGGAUCACUGCUGUCUGGAGUCUAAUCUCCAUUCUGGUGGUUUUGGUUGCUAUGGUAAUUGAAUUCACUUAAAGUUGUCUCCAAGCUA